UGGGGGGAGCUCGUUCCAGAUCGUAGGUGCCCCCACAGAGAAGGCUCUCCCCCUAGGGGCCACCAGUCGACAUUGUUUGGCCGACAGCACCCAGAGGAGCCCCUCUCUAUGGGAGCGUACUGGCCGGUGGGAGGCUAUUGGUGGUAGCAGGCGGUCCCGUAGAUAACCAGGUCCUAAGCCAUGGAGCGCUUUAAAGGUGAUAACCUUUAGUUGGUUAAAUUGGUCAGACUAAUUCUGGCCCCAUCAUUAAGGGACAUGAUCAGGGCCUCCAUUCCGAUACAGUGUGUUUCAUCCUGUUAAAAAAGAGGCAAUAAUAAGCCUUUUACUAAAGAAACUUUCCCUUGGCCUGGAAGAGCUCAAUACAGUUAUAAAUUAACAGCAGAUAUUUCAUUUCUUUAAAAAAGGUUAUUGAGAAUGUGGUGGUCUCACAGCUACAAACUCAUCUGAAUAAUCUGGAUUACAUGGAUCCAAGCCAUUUGGGCUUUUGGACAGGAUAUGGUUUCUGAGGUAUUCUUCUGGUUGACUACAUAGCAUGAACAUCAGUUGGCAUCUGAUUGGAUUGGCAAGCAUUAAUAAGAUUAUCUGCAACAUGGAUGCCCAAUGACAGACAAAGCUGAAAACAAGAAAGCUGCCUUGUUAUGGGUUUUCUGCAAGUAGGAGAAAGUUGGUUAUCCAUUACCAUAAGAAGAACUGCCAAAGUUAAAAGAAAGAAAUUUCUCAUAAGGUUUAUAUAGAAAUUAUAGCCUAGUGCUUGGGUUUUCCAUAUCAAAGUUUCUUUUCAUCUUUAAUUUUUAGGAACAUGAAUUAGGAUGGAGAUGUCAGUGGGGGUAGGGGAUAGGUAGAGAGAAUCUGUAUACACAUUGUUUGGUCAUUUACUAAUUGUUUUCAGAAGUUAUUUAAUUAGAUAUUUAGAGGAAUGCAUGUUACUGAAAAGCCCAUGUCAGAUUCUGAAAUCAGAGUAGAUAAAGACGAGACUCUUCCAUUUCCCCUCUUCUCGAACUGCAAAAGGUAAUUAGCCCAUUUAGCUUUGCAAAGUGCAGCUUUUCUAUCAGGGAAAGGAGACUGAAAUAAGAUAGCAUUCUUUGAAACAUGCCACAAUGCUUUUCCCUUGUAUGCCACAUAAAGAAAGCCAUCUGAUCCCCACACUGGUCAAGGGAUCAGUGGCAAUAUGAUCAAUGAUGACUCUGGAAUUUUGGCCAUUGCUACUGGCUAAUUUGGCUUGUCUUGAGACGCAGGCGGGUUUUGCUUUCCUUUCUUCUUUUUCUUCUUUUCUGAACAUUAUUGUUAUAAUUUUCUUCCCUUCCAUCAUCUUGGCCCUACUCAUCAAUAUAUGUGUAUAUAUUUAGUAACAACACAUGGAUUUAGUGUAAUGUCCAUCCAUUCAGCUUCCAUUAUUAGUUAUGCCUUUUACCAUGGCAAAUGAAGGUAUGCAUCUCCUAUAAUUAGAGUAAACUAUAUGUAGUAAAGAUGCUUCCAAAACUUUUCAAAGAGCAGAACUCCUCAAGGAAAUAAUUGUGGCGUAUGUGGUAUGAUUAUACAUUUGGAAAGAAGGAUCAUAUAUAUAAAACUGUGAGAGCUGAAGUGGUAUAGAAAUAUUGCAUGCUCCCUACAUUUUCACAGGCCCAUUAACUCAUAUAUUCUUACAGCAAGCAUCACUGGUCCAGAGAUUUUAUACUUUUAGAUGUUUCUGAUAGUUCUGGUAUUCCCAGUCUUCUUUUGUGUCUCGACUAUGGGUUCCUUUGGUGCGAGCUACAUGAGCAACAUAAUAGUCCUAUAAUUAAAGGAAACUACUGUACCACCACAGCUCAUAAUGCAAUCAUGAAAUAUACAGGCAUGAAUUUUAUCCCUUUAGUAAGCAAGCUGUCCAAUGGGCUGACAGCAGUGGAGUUUGGAGUUGGAGUAUGGAGUUUCUUUCUCAUGAUUGCAGAAUGUACAACAAUGAGGAACUAGCAUAUAAUUUAGCAUAGGCAUCAUGUAAGUAGCACACCCAUUCCGGCUACUUCCUUAAAAACUGAUUACAUAAAGGAAGAACUUGUAUGCCAUUAUUAGAUUACAUCUACACAGGACUCAAGACCAUUUUCAGUAAAGCCCCAUUUAUUAAUGAGAUCCCCAUCAGUAAGACUGUUAUGACCCAGGUGGUCAAGUCAAGGUAGGCCUCUAGAGAGUUCUUUAUUUUUCUCAAAUGUUCCAGCUAAUGGCCCUCCAAUGACCAGUAAGGCUCCACUCCCACACUACCCUGAAGGCAACCAACCUCAGUCUCCCAAACACAGCCCCGUUAGCCCAAAGAAAGGGUAGAAGCAUAUUCACAGGGCAAGGUCCAGGGUUCCAAGUCCAAUCCACUAGGCAAAAUCCAGGCACAAGACAAUGGUAGUCCUCAAGUCACAGGCAAGAAGCAAUUUCAAAGGCACAAUGAAGCAAAGGCCAAACACAGGCCAGAAGGGAAGGGUUAGGUCCAAAAUAAAAUGCGAAGAGCAAUCUUCAAAAUGAGGCAAGGCAAACAGCAACAGACAUAAGUCAAAGCUGGGGAUGUGUAAACCAAAGCAAACAAUUGUUCCUGGCAAAGCCUAACUCUCCAUAGCUUCUCCUUAAGUUAUACCCUCCAGAUGUUCCUUGUGAGGAGAGGUGGGGUGACUUCCUCCCGAGUAGCCUUGCAGCCCUUCUCUGAGCGUGCCUACACUCCAGUCUCCUUGCCCGAGUGGAGUAGAUAGCUGUUCCUCAUCAGAAGAGAUUGACUGCCUAUCAGUACCACUGUCGAUCAGCAGCCAAUCCUCCCCUGUGUGAUCCUCUCCAUCUGGUUGACCACCUCCCCCAAUACUUGUGGGGCCUGGGACAACAUCGGUCUUAACCGCUGGCAUGCCUUCUCUGUCAGAUGGUCCCAGUUCCAACUCUUCCUCCUCUGAACUGGGCUCCAAGGGGGCCAUGAAAAAGACUAAGGAUGUCUGUGGAGUCCACAGCAUGCUCUAAUCCCUACCCCUUUUUAAAGUGAAUCACAUGGGGAAAAAAGAGGCAAAACUUAAAUUACAAGCUUGCGGUUGCCUUCUUUACUUUUUUGAUCCCUCUUUAGCUCCUUUGGGUAAAGCCCCAAAUGAAACUGCUACAGCACAGUAGAUACUUGGCAAUGGACAAUCAAUUGGCAAUAUUGCCUGCCUCUCUACAAGACCCAGUAUCACCAAAAAAUAAAGUCCAACAGAGUCCAAAUAAUACCAAGUCAACCUUCAACCUUCAAAACAAACUCAGCUCUUUAUGUACAUGCCACAUGCAUAAGCCAGUCUGAAUUGGCAUCAAGACAAUGUGUUAUACAGUUUUAGGAAUAGUUAUCACAAUCAUUAUGUUGCAUUCUUGCUGGCUUGUAGGCUGGGAAAUGCAAUAUUAAAACACAAGCAUCCAUUCAUAAAUGUUAUGGUUUAUAGUCAAUGGGAAUGGGAAUUUCCCACAGAGAUGUCACUUUCAACAGAAUCCUGGAGUAGUUCCCAUUUGUCGAUUUCAGUAAUAGCACUAGCACUUUAGACUUAUAUACUGCUUCAUAGUGUUUUAUAGCCCUUUCUAAGUGGCUGUCAGCAUAUUGCCCCCAACAAUCUGGAUCCUUAUUUUACCAACUUUGGAAGGAUGGAGAGUCAACUGUAAGCUGAUCAGGAUUGAACUGCUGGUAGUCGGCAGAGUUAGACUGCAAUACUGCAUUUUAACUAUCAUUUGGAAUUCCUAAGCCUUUAUAUUCUAAAAAUGAUAAUAAUUAGAUGUCUUUAAAUCAAAGAGAUAUUUUUGUUUUAAAUGUGAUAGAUUUGUUCUAUGUUAUUUCAGUCUUGGAAAAACUCAAAACAUAAAAUCUCAGUAAUAAUAUGAAAGCAUGAUGGUCACAUUUCUAGAAGAAGAGAUAUAAGGUCUGAACAGACCAUGAUUGGAUAACAUUGUCAUUCUUGAGAAUGAUUUUUCCUCUAACCUAAACAAAGAACAGCUGGAAUAAAACAUUAAUUUGGGAGAAACUGUGCGUCUGGUGAAGUACAAAGCAUUACUAUCAGUUUUUUGCUUCUGUUGAAUGAGACAUUGGGUGGAGUGGGGUGGAAAUCUUACAUGGAAUUCCAAAUGUUCUCUAGCACUCUAAAACAAAGGGCUUUCUAAAAUGAUUUAAUGUUUAUAUUGAGGAGAGUUCAAAUGACAUGUGUCAUUUUCAACAUAAGCAUUUGCUGGAGGGGAAGAACGGGUUAAUAUGGGGAUUUAAUGACUUAUCCUGUAAUGAUUGGUAUGAAUUACUAACUAAAUCAAUCUGCUCAGUUUAAAAGAGUCAUUUAUAUUUGCCAAAGGCUGCUCCUUUUCUUGAAGGCAACAUACAUUCUACUUCCAACAGAAAAUUAUAUGGUUUGCUAAUUGCUUGAGUGUAAAGAAGGGUCACUGUGCAAUUUCCUUUUACUAUAAUUUGAAAUCCCACAAAUACAACUUGUCAUCAUCCCAGAGGAAUUUAUGGUUUUGGCAAAGCCUAAGAGUAGGUAAAGUUGUAAAAAAAAAAAUCUAGUUUCUGUUUUUAUAAUCAGUCAAAGAUUUUCAUUGUUCAGAGGGAGCUUCUUCAGAGGGGUCAAGAAAUAAAAAUGGUGGCCAUAUCAACACUAUCAAAGCCCUGCCUCCAAUUUUAACAUGUGUUGUACUCACAAUGCACAUAAAAAGAGAAGCUUUGCACACGCAGCUACAGCUGUCAUCUUGACAUUUUUGACAUUCUUGGACACCCCUGGUUGCUUAUAAUAAAUAUAUUGUAAUAAACGUAUUGAUUAAUCUUCAGACCAAACUCAUAAUAUAUUUCUUUCAUAAAGCCUGUGGGCUUGACACUUAUUUUUUUUCCUUCCUUCCUUCCUUCCUUCCUUCCUUCCUUCCUUCCUUCCUUCCUUCCUUCCUUCCUU